UAUAUAAAGGAAUGACAUACUAGAGAAAUCUAGAAAAAUAUACUAUGGUUACCAUCUCUGAGAAGGUUUCAAGGGUUAUUAGACAUACCAUGAAAAAGACAAGAAGAAAGUGAAGAAUACACAGUUGAAAGGUGUUAGAAGUGUAAAAAGGAGAAUCUUUUGAACAUCAAAAAGUAGAAAUAUAUAUACAAAUAUAUAUAUCCCUCUUCAUGGAAGGAAUGGCUCAGAUACUGAGAUUUGGAUCCACUGAGCCAUCAGGGGAGACCAGACAUGAGAAACAUAGACUGAAUUGCCUAAUAUAACAACUAAACUAUUGAUUUCGUACGUCUUACUUCUGUGGCUGACUUAGGUACUGGCCCCAGGGAAGGACUGAGUCGUGACCCCCAAAGAGGCAUCCAUGUUAAACAUUGAGGUGAUUGUCAGCACAUGCUUUAGACUAGGGGAAGCUGAGUAUUAAAGUAGAAGCCUGUGGCUGCUGUAGUCUCUAUUUGCCAGUCCACAAAGGGAUCCAAAGAAUUUGAGGAUUACCAGAUGUAUCUUCCAUGUGGUAAAAAUACGAGUGUAAAUUGGUAACUGGUAACUAUCUAUUAUAUUAACUCCUACUAGGAGUCCUGAGAACUAUGUGUCCUGAAAUAUACUAUACUAGGGAUUCCUGGGGAAAAUUUAUGUGGCAAAAAAAUCUUUAAAAAAGAUUGUAAUAUAAACUUGGUUGGGACUAAGAAAAAAGUCAAAAAUAUUUUAUGUAACCAUUAAGCAUAUAAAAAUAUUGUAUUUGUGCACAAUCCAUGUUGUUAGAUUGUUGUGUGGUGUCACUGCAACAUUUCUGUAGUUGUUACUUUAGGAAAUGUGCUGCUCUAAUGUUCCCCUGGCCCGACACUCCUCAGCAUUUAUGGCAGUGCAGCACAGACAGCUCUGUGUUCCAACACAUUGCUAAAGUUCUGAUUUAUUUUCAUAGGACUGCUGUAGCAAAAUACCAAAACUGCUCACAGUUAUGGGGAUUGAAAUCCAAAAUCAAGAUGCUGGCAGUGUUGGUUCCUUCUGGAGUUUCUGAAGAAAAUCUGCUUCAUGUAUUUCUCUGGAACAUAAAGAUACAGGAUUUAUCUUGUCGUUUAUAAAAAUCCUAAACUAAGUCUCAGAGAUGAAAAGAGCUUGCCAAAAGUGUCUCCACUAACCAGUCACAAGUCCAAGUCUUGGGUAAGGUUCUUGGGUCCAAUUAUCCACCUUGUCUUUUGGGAUUCCUGUUCCAUAGUACUGGCCAACACUCUAAUUCCUGACUGACAAAGACUGACCAAGGGAAUAAGAAGAAUUAUUGCUGAUUUAGAAUGUGAAUCUACUCCUAAGGAUAGUGAAAACAGAACGUGUUAUCUCCAAAAGGAAAGAAUACCAAAAACAUACCUCCAACUUUUGAUUUUGAAAGCAUCCAGAGGAGCCAAUUCUUCAAGGGAAAAUUGUCACUUUGAGAAUAUGGAUGAUUUAUCAGGUUUAUAACGAUGACAAGAGAGAUCGUGUCAUUUCCAUUCAUCACUGAUUGCUAGUACAGUGUAUGGAAAUUAGCAGGGCUCUGAAGCAACACAGCCUGUCCAUUUCUUUGAUCAGGUCUGAUUCGACUAGUGCAAUAUUAUUUCAUCUAUAGUUCCUGUAUAUUUUUUCGUGCUUUGUCCCUCAACUAGAAAUUGUUUAUAUAUCAGCAUUACUUAAAUCAAGACUUUUCAAGGCACACUGUCCAAAAAUUCUGCUAAAGAAUAGAAGAUGUAAGGAUGCAGAUGGUGUGCAGAAUCCAUUCUGCCAGUAGGCAGCAACAGCAGUGACAGUCUUUGUACAGGUACAGAGGUCUGACUUUCCCCAAGUGUUCAUCAGAGAUGGAAUGUUGCAUAUGUGCAGAACUUCUUGGGACAGCACCCAAGACAUCAGACUCAAUUACUGAGUUCCUUUGUAGUUGCACAGGAUUGCAGUGUCCACACAGCACAGAGGAAAAUCUGUGUUACACACAGUGAUGGUACAUAGGUUAACAAUAUCUGCCUGCAUGGAGGCUGGUUGAAGAUUACCACCUGGAAUCACUAAACUCCAGAAGACACAGCUCCCUUCAGACUGCCUUGAUAUACUUGGUGAAGGUUACAGCUGCGAGAGGCCAGCAGAAGGAGUGGCUUCCAUGGCAACAGCCUGCUUCAGCACAGUCCUCUGGCUGGUGUUCCUGGACAAUAUGUCACUCACAUCUGCAGAGUUGUCAAUAACAACAAGGGCGGGAGAUGCCAGUGGAAGCUUCUGCCAGGUUCUCCUCAGAAUUGUGCUGUAGACAAUAUCACUUUUCCUUUUGUAGAUGUACUAUCUCACUUGAAAUUCGAGGUUGGCGCUAACUAAUGGGUUUCUGCUGCAAAGAAUUUGAGGAAAUCCUCCCUCUUUUUUACCAGGACAUUAGGGGCUCUGGCCAUUGUGAAAUUUCUCAAAAAGUUAUUCAGGGAAUCAAGAAAAAAUACCAAAUGGACUCUUUUCUGGACAGCAUGGCAAAAGCCCAAAUAUUUAUGACAAAUCACCCUUUAGAGAAAGUAAAAUAUUCUGGAGUAACCUACAUAGUAUGAAGCUAGGCAGAGAUGAAACGUGGUUAUUAAUAAUGAUAUACCCAAGACCUCUGUGGGGGGUGGAGAGAGGUUCCCAGAAGACCAGAGCCAGUCAAAAGAUUCAGGGUCUAGGAAAGAAGAGAAUAUAUUCAGAAACAGAAUUUACAGCUGUUUUCUAGGAGUCAAGGCCCUAGGAACAGUUUUAAGAUUUAAUUAUUUAUUUACUUACUUAUUUAUUUAGCCAGCAUUGCUUGUAAUGUGUCUCCUUUUAGAUCCAAUAUUUAAAAGAUACUGCUGUAAUCAGCACCUAAUCUAGGAAGAUACAUGCAAAUGAAUUGAAGUCAUAUUUUCUGGUGAUAUACUUUAAUUAGACUUAUACUUCUAUGGAAAGCAUGUUUCCCUGACUGAAUUUAUUAAAAACACUGUUAGCUCUAAUUAUAGCAGAACAUACUCUGAUUUGAUCAGGCACACAAUUAUGGACUCUCUAAGAUGGUGAUGGUCUACAAAUAAUUAAUAUUACAAAGAUUAUUUUAUUUCCUACUUCUUUUAAUCAUAAAUAAUUUCUGCAUGUUUCUGGACAUAUUUAGAGAAUAUCUCAAAAAACAUGCCAAAUGAAAUAAAAAAUUCAAUAGAUCAAAUGACAAAUGCAUAUGAGAGCCUUAAAAACAGAGUCAGUGAAGCAGAAGAGAGAAUAUCAGAGUUAGAAGACAGAGCACAAGAAAGUAUACAGUCAAACCAAAUAAAAGAAGAGGAAAUUAGAAAUCUAAAAAAUAUUGUCAGAAAUCUACAUGAUACUAUUAAAAAACCCAACAUUCGGGUUCUAGGUGUUCCUGAAGGCAUGGAGAGAGAGAGAAAGGAUUAGAAGGCAUUUUUAUUGAGAUACUAGCAGAAAUCUUCCCAUGUUUGGAGAAGGACAGAGACAUCCAAGUACAGGAAGCUCAUAGACUGCCAAUAAACAUGACAAAAAGAGAUCCUCACCAAGACACGUUGUAAUCAAACUCACCACAGUGAAGCAUAAAGACAAGAUUGUAAAAUGUGCAAGAGAGAAACGUCAGAUUAAUCUCAGAGGAUCUCCGAUUAGAUUCACAGCAGACUUCUCAUCAGAAACCCUACAGGCUAGGAGGGAAUGGCAAGAUAUAGCCCAGGUACAAAGAGAAAAAAAAAAAAAACUGCCAGCCCAGAAUAUUCUAUCCUGCAAAGCUCUCAUUUGUGAAUGAAGGUGAAAUAAAGACCUUUCAUAGCAAACAGAAAUUGAAAGAAUUUUCACCACUCUCCCAGCUCUGCAAAAAAUGCUUAAAGAUGUGUUAUACACAGAAACACAGAAACACGGCCAUCAAUAUGAAAGAAGGUAAAAGAAGAAAACCUCCCAGUAAAAGAUCACAGGAAGUUCAAAGCAUAUAUUAGAAAUAUCUUGGGAAAAUGGCAGGGCAAAAUUACUACUUAUCAACAGUCACAUAGAAUACUAAUGGCCUCAACUCCCAGUUAAAAGACACAGACUGGCUGAAUGGAUUAAGGAACAAAACCCGUGUUUGCUGCUUACAAGAAACACAUCUUUCCAACAAAUAUGCAUGCAGACUGAAAGUGAAAGGUUGGAAAAAGAUAUUCCAUGCCAACAGAAACCAAAAAAGAGCUGGUGUAGCCAUAUUAAUAUCAGACAAUAUAAACUUUAACACAAAAACUGUUAAGAAGACAUGGAGGGGCACUAUAUAAUGAUUAAAGGAUAAAUUCAAAAGGAAGAUGUAACUAUUAUAAAUGUAUAUGCAGCUAAUUACAGGGCAUUGGUUUAUUUAAAAGAUAUGUUAAGGGACUUAAAGGGAGACUUAGACUCCAAUACAAUAGUACUGGGGGACUUCAAUACUCCACUUUCAGAAAUAAACCAAUCAAGCAGACAGAAGAUCAACAAAGAAACAGCAGACUUAACUGACACUAUAGCCCAAAUAGAUCUAAUAGAUAUUUACAGAACUUUUAAUCCUAACUUCAAAAAUUUACAUUUUUCUCUGCAGUGCAAGGAACCUAAUCUAGGACUGACCACAUACUAGGCCAUAAAGCAAGUCCCAGAAAAUUCAAAAGAACUGAAAUCAUACUUUGCAGCUAGUCAGACCACAGUGGAAAGAAUCUGGAAAUUAGCAACUCAGGAAUUACUAGAGCAUAUGCAAACACAUGGAGACUGAACAACAUGCUCCUGAAUGAACACUGGGUCAUAGAAGAAAUAAAAAGAGAAAUAAAAAACUUUGUAGAAAUAAAUGAGGAUAACAACACAACAUAUCAAAACUUAUGGGAUAUAGCAAAAGCAGUGUUAAGAAGAAAGUUUAUAUCAAUAGGUGCCUACAUCAAGAAAUUGGAAAGGCACCAAAUAGAUGAGCUUUCAGCACAUCUCAAGGAUCUAGACAAACUGCAGCAAAUCAGGCCCAAAUCUAGUAGGAGAAUAGAAAUAAUUAAAAUCAAAUUAUUAGAGAAUAUUGGAGAAAUCCGUCAAGAUAUUGACACAGGCAAAGACUUCUUGGAAAAUACCACAGAGGCACAGGCAGUCAAAGCCAACAUUAACUAUUGGGAUUUCAUCAAAUUGAGAAGUUUCUGUACUGCAAAAGAAACAGCCAGGAAAGUGAAAAGGCAACCGACAGAGUGGGAAAAAAUUUGCAAACUAUGCAACUGAUAAAGGAUUAAUAACCAGAAUCUAGGAGGAGAUCAAGAAACUCCAUAAAAACAAGACAAACAACCUAUUUUAGAGAUGGGCCAAGGAACUCAAUAGACAGUUUUCAAAAGAGGAAAUCCAAAUGGCCAACAGACACAUGAAAAAAUGUUCAGGAUCACUAGCAGUUAGGGAAAUGCAAAUCAAAACCACAAUGAAGUUUCACCUCAACCCGGUUAGAAUGGCUUACAUACAGAAAUCCACCAACAACAGAUGCUGGCAAGGAUGUGGGGAAAAAGGGACACUAACCCACUGUUGGUGGGAAUGCAAACUGGUCAAGCCACUAUGGAAGUCAGUUUGGAGAUUCCUCAGAAACCUGGAUAUAAAUCUACCAUACAACCCAGCCAUCCUACUACUUGGAAUUUACUCAAAGGAAAUUAAGUUGGCAAAUAAAAGAGCUGUCUGCUCCUCAACGUUUAUUGCAGCCCAAUUCACAAUAACUAAGACCUGGAAUCAACCUAAAUGUGCAUCAAAAGAAGACUGGAUAAAGAAAUUAUGGGAUAUGUACUCUGUAGAAUUCUACACAGCAGUUUAAAAAAAAUGAAAUGCAGUCGUUUGCAACAAAAUGGAGGAAUUUGAAAAACAUCAUGCAGAAUGAAAUAAGCCAGUCCCAAAAGAACAAAUGUCAUAUGUUCUGCCUGAUAGGUGACAACUAACUGUACCUAAAAGUAAACCUGUUGAAGUGAAAUGCACACUAUUAGAAACAAUUACUUGAUCAGCCCUUGUCCUGACUGCCGAACAACUUACUACUUUAUUCCUUUCAGUAUUUUUUAGUUCUAAUUAGCACUAUUGGUUGAACUCUUUAAUUAACACUCAAUUAUUCUUAGGUAUUUAACUGAGAAGAGAUCCCUGUUAAAUGUAAGAGUGGGAAAAAGAGAGGGAGGAGAUGUACAGUUUGGCACAUGCUCAAUCGGACUUACCAAAACAGUAGAGUUAGAAACGUGCCAGGGUAUUCCAUCAAGGUGGCAUGUACCAAUACCAUCUCACGAGUCAAAGUGAUCAGUUUCAGUUCACAAUUGAUCAUAAUGAAACGAUUAAGAUUCAAAGGGAUCUCAUAAACAAAACUAGAGUGUGCUAAUACUAACUGAUAGAAUUUAAAAUGAGAGAAUGAUCCAACAUGGGAAGCAGGAUACACAGCAGACUCGUAGAAUGGCAGAUGUUCUAAAUAGCACUCUAGCCUCAGAAUCAGCCCUUAAGGCAUUCAUACCUGGCUGAAGAGCCCAUGAGAUUAUUUAGGCAUGGAAAGCCAAGACA